UGAAAAGUAAAAUUAAAAAAAAUUAAAUUAUAUUCAGAAAAGUCUUAUCAUUCAAUCCAAAGGAGUGCUCUAUGAAACUGCAUUUUAAUGACUCAUUUUUGUUGCAUUACCUGAAAACUAUCUUUGACUUAAAAGGGAGCAACUCAACUGUUUAGUUCAUAACCAAGCAUGUGAAUGUUUAAAGAUUCAAAAAAUAACUUAUGUAUUAAUCAUAAAUGAAGAUGGAUUUGCAGUUUCAUUACACGCUUGAAAUAUGCUGAUAAUUCAACUCAGAAAACUUUACUUUUAGAUUGUAUUUUACCCAUGCGAUUCAAACAAAUGGUCUUCUUCCAUUUAAUAAAACUAUUUGCAUAUUCUGAACAUCCACACUAGGCAAACGGGAAACCCUUCUUUGGAUUCUAUAGCUAUUGAACUGUGAGGCACAAACAAACUCAUUAUCACACUGGAGUUUGCUUCGGAAAACUAUUAAAAUGUAGUGGAGUGUGGAGGGUGAGUAGGUGAAAAGUCUUUACUGACCAAAUGUAGUGGGGAAUACUUUGUUUUAAAGAAAAGAAUAUAAAUGAUAGGUUACCAUUUCCAUUCAGUGUACUCAUAUCACACAAACAUUUGUGGUCCUGCAAACUACACAGACUUAGAUGGUUUCUUACUUAUAAAGUCAGCCCAGAGGCACUGCCUCAUUCUAAGCUAGUAGAGUUUCUCCUAACACCUUUCAAUUUUCAGAACUGGCUUUGUGCUUAAUUUUCUUGGGGCUUUUUGCAAACAAAUAAAAAGAUUUAUUACUAAGUUUACUCUGCCUGACAAUAAAAACUGUGACUGAAUAAAGUGAUGUUGUUUUCUUGAUAUAAAAGUCUGUUACUCUAAUUAGAAUAGCUGUUUUACUGAAACAGAAACAGAGGAUGGACUCAGUAAACCAACUCUACCCUCGCCGAUCCCAAGUUAGGUAAUUUCUUCAAAAUGUUGUUUUUUAAUGCAUUUUUUAUUUAUUUAGAUUUCAAUUGUUAUCCUCUUUCCCAGUUUCCUGUCUAUAACACCCUUAUCCCAUUCCCAUUCCCCUUCUUCUAUGAGGGUGCUCCCCACCAAUCACCCACCCCUCCCCCCUCCGCCCUGACAUUCCCCUACACUGCUGGUCCAGCCUUGGCAGGACCAAGGGCUUCUCCUCCCAUUGGUGUCCAACAAGGUCAUUCUCUGCUACAUAUGCAGCCAUGGGCCUGUCCUUGUGUACUCUGGGUAGUGGUUUAGGACCCAGGAGCUCUGGUUGGUUGGUAUUGUUGUUCUUAUGGGGUUGCAAGCCCCUUUCAGCUCCUUCAAUCCUUUCUCUAACUCCUCCGAUGGGGACCCCAUUUUCAGUUCAAUGGUUUGCUGCUAGUAUUCACCUCUGCAUUUGUCAUGCUCUGGCACAGCCUCUCAGGAGACAUCUAUAUCAGGCUCCCGUCAGCAUGCACUUCUUGGCAUCAGCAAUAUUGUCUGGGUUCGUAUAUGGUUUGUAUAUGUGUAUAGGCUGGAUUCCCAGUUAAGCCAUUAUUUUAUAAUGAUCUUCUCACCUUGUACUGAAUCUAAGUUGUAACAAAAAGCCGUAUGUGCUCAUGGCUAUUGACUUUGCUAAAGAUAAUUGUGCUAACAGGAAACGUUCCAAUAGCAUAUUCCUACAGAACUUAAAUUCUGCACAGUAAAAUUGAGAUAAUGUCGGAAGAUUUGCAUGCAAUCUAGGAAAAUCUAAACACUGAAGAAAUUAAACCAUUCCCAAUGUAAAUGAAUAAAAUGCACAAAAUUUAAAAUAUAUUUUAAUGGACUCACAAUAAAGAACAUUGAAGACAAUAGACAAAAUUGAUAAAUACAGAAAUUCUGAAAUCGAGAAGAAACUGCUAUAAACUGUAAUAGCCUUCAUAAUACAUUUUUCACACAUUAAGUCCAUUUAAUCUGCUUUGAGUCUUGUUUUUCUCCAGAGAUUUUGAAUAAUGGAUUCCAGGCUUAGGUAUGUAGCUACUGUUACUUUAAAUAGAAAUAUGAUCACAUGGUGUGGUGCCUCCAUGAAUGCCCUUUGCUUACUUUGGUUAGAUAGGCUCUGAAGAGGAGGAGUUAUGACUAUACAAGACAGGAUCUCAUUUAAAUCAUUCUGCCUAAAAGCUGGACGUAAAUAAUGUUCUCUGACAUAUAUGAGGAAAAAUGCAAAAGAAUACAUCUAAAAUCAGCCAAAAGUGCAGGUAGCAAUUUCUAUAACUUAACCAGUUUCUCUAAAAUGUUCCAUAGCAUACCUAUGGCAACUCACUGAAAAGUUAAUGCUCAUUAAUAUAUCAUAGAGUUCAGUGCUCUAGGCACAGUGUUUCUGUAAUCAGGUCAUUCACUGGGCUAUGUGCAGAAGUGGUUAAAUCUAUCAUCAAGUAUGAGCUAAUACAUUUAAGCAUUCGGAAUAUUUCUCAUUUUCUAUCUAGAAAGAUAUGUAAAUACCAAGAAAUAGAUUCAGUUUCCAUGUAGGCAGGAAAUGGAAAAGGAAAUCAUCUUGUAAAAACACAGUUCACCCAGGAUGCCUUCUGUACCUCUUCCUCAGUACCUCUCCCUAGAUAACUAGGCCUCUUGCUUUCGGACAAUCCUAGAAUACACAACAGUGUAUGUUACUACCUUGUGUACUGUGUUCCCUCAGCCCAUCAGCUGGUCCUCUGAGAUACUGUGCCUAAUCCUCCAGAAAUAAAGCAAACACGCACGCAAAUAGCAGGAGUUAGAAUACAUGCUCCAUAAGGAAACAAAAGUAAAAAAGCUUUCUUUUUCAGGCUCAAGAAAAUAUUUUAAAUGGAGCAAUUAAAAAUUAUAUGCAUGGAUUGACUUUAAAGCAAGUACGUAUGGGGAAAUGUGCUCCGAAGUUUUACCUUGGAUUAAUUUGCUAUUUUUAUAUACAUGCUGGUUCACUGUGCAUUUGAACUUAUCUGUCUAGGUCCACUACUCAGUGUUUUUUUUUUUUUUUUCUUUUUUUUUUUUCGAAGCUGGGGACCGAACCCAGGGUCUUGCGCUUCCUAGGUAAGCGCUCUACCACUGCACUACUCAGUGUUUAAUCAGAAUCUUUUUCUGCUCUUGACUUUUCAGAGCUACUUGCACAUUUUACGUAGCUAACACUCGCCAGAUGCAAAGUUUACAAGUAUUUUGCCCCAUGAUUUAAGUUUUCUCUUCACGUGUUGAUUGAUUGAUUGACUGGCUGAGAUUGACUGAUUGACUGAUUGAUUGAUUGAUUGAUUGAUUGAUUGAUUGAUUGAUUUGCAUCCAAACGCUGCUCUGCCUCCCAGUAUACCCUCACAGAGUCCUUUCCUCCUUGCCCCUUCCUUUCUUCUCUGAGAAGAUAGGGCCGGCUUGGGUACCCUCCAUCCUGGUGCAUCAAGUUUCUGCAGUUUAGGGACUUCCUGUCCUACUGAAACCAGACAAGGCUGCUGUGGAGACCCAGAUGCCGAUCGUUAUAUAUAGGCCAACGGCUUCAGUCCAGAACGCAAACAUUCUUUGGUUGGUGACUCAGUCUGUGAGAGCUCCCAUGGGUCUAGUUUCCACAGUUCUAAGCUCAUCUAGAAAUGAAGAACAUGAGGCAGAUUUAGCUGUUCUCCAGUCUGCAAUGGUGACAGACGUGUCUUCAGCUUGAGACCUGUUCUCCAUCACAACUUCCACAAUGGAAAAAGUGCUUCAAAUAAUUUAGUCUUUCCAGAUUCUCUCCCACUAAAAUAUCGAAGAGCCUGUGCGGGUGGAUCAUUCUUAAGGCACAACAAGGCAAAAGAUGUUCAUGAACUCACAGCACGCACAAAACCUGCACAAGCACAUGCCAAACGAAUUCCAAAGACAAGGGAAGAAAAAUGGUCGCAUUGCCCUACUCAUAGAAGCUAUCUGCAAGGUCAUUUUAUAAAAUUAUAUAAAAAAUAAAAACAAGCCAUUUCCAAAAACGCGAGGUCCUGAUAUUCAGCAUUGUUGCCAAAGUGUGAUCACCAGUCAGCAGGCAGCAGCAUCCUGAAACAGCAAUUGAUGCUCUUACACCGGUCUAGAAUACUAAUAUGAUCUGCAUUGUGCUUGGAAUUGUGAAAACUAGAAGUUGGGAAAAAUGGAAUGGAUUUGGGACUUGUCUCAAGUCUUUUAAUAAAAACUACCCAUGUGUCACAUUAAAUGAUUUGACUGUGGAAGUCUCUUACAAAUAGUUCUCCAUAUUUCAACAGAUGACUUCUAUCUUAUCUAACUCUCUGAGGGCACCAAAAUGAGAAAUAAACAUCAUAAUAGUGUACAGACAAAAGGCUUAAUUCAAAUAGCAUGAGGGUAUAUGCAGAAUAUCAGUGAACUGUUCUAGAAAAAGCAUACAAGGUAUUCUUGCAAUCUUUUGAAAGAUACUCAAUUUUAGAUUGCUACCUCAGGAAGAGUAAAAUCAUUCAAGUAGGGUUAUCCGCACAAUCACUUUUGAAUGCUUUCAGUAAGACCUGGAGAAAAUGACCUCUACAAAACCAAGAUGCAGUGAGUGAGUCUUCAAGCAAUAUUAAUAGAAUGCAUGGAACAUAGGCUAAAAAAACAACACAGUGAUCUUCAAGUAUCAGUUUCCCACUGAACAAGAGGUUGGUGAGUUCUAGGAAAGUCUUCAAAGUGAAUGAUUUAAGGAAGGUUCACACCUUUCUAUUACCUCUGUCUCUUUCUCUGUGGUCUUUUGAAAACUGCCUUUUUUUUUCUCUUAACUAAAGACCUUCUAAUUGAUUCUCAAAUUUGAUUCUGAAUUAAGUUACAAAACAUUAGUUGAAAUCUGUUCAGUGUUUUACUGUAAAUGAAUUCUUCAUUUUCUUUAUUUAUUUACUGACACAGGCAUUUCAGUGACACAUUGAGCUACCUGGAGAUCAUAUGUGACAAAUUGUAAGAACAAAAUGUAAGCAAUGUGAAAUUUAAUGAAGAAGUAGAUCACUGAAAAUGAGAAUAAGAAAAAUAAAACCAAAAGUUCAAUGACAGCUCUAUCAGAAUAUAUGUGAAACCAAAGAAAGCACUUUUAGAAUGAAGCCUGGUUACCAGAAAAGUCAUGAUCACAAGAAAGGAUUAAGUAAAAUGGUGGAGUGACAGACUCCAUCAAGACAGCCAUAUUUCACAUUAUAAAUGUGCCGGAGGAAAAUAUGGGCACAAAAUAUAUUUUAAAAAUGAAGGUAGAGUAUACCCAAUAUCUGAGUUGAGAUACAGACUUACAGGCACAUGAAUAUCAAGACUCUGUAUGUCAUUCCACUUAAAAAUAUAUCACAAAAAAUAAUUACUUUGUUUUGAAUAUUUAAAAAGAGACAAAAAUUUCAAAGCCCAAGGGUUGGAAGAGCCUCCUAUAUCUAAAAUAUUCUUAACACUGUCAGCAGAUUUCUUGGCAGAACACUUGCAGACUGAGAAGGAAUGAAAUGUUAUCACUAAAAUGAGAAAAACUACUGACAAUAAAAAUUAUUUUAUAAGGCAAAGCAAUGAUGUGAAAUGAUGGCGCUAAUAAAACAUUUCAAAGAACACCUACAGCUGACUAUUCCUCAAUGUCCCAUCUCUUUUACAGGCAAUUCUAAGGAAUUCUCAAAACAGAGAUGAAAAAAACACUAGUUAGUAACAUGAAAACAUGCAAAAAUCAAAGUCAUGAGGAAAGUUAAUCAAUCAUAUGACUAAAUUCUGUUCUAAUGCUAUGAGAUUGAUUAAUCAAUUAUAAUAUUAAAACAAAGGUUCAAGGAAAGAGCUAGAGAUAUAAUUCAGUGAUAAUUUGCUGAAAAGGCAAGGAAUUUGAGUUCCAAAAGAAUUAUAAAAAACAGGUUAAAGAUGUAAGUGCUAAAAACAACUGUAUUCAUAGUAUAUUCAUAGUUAUUUGAGUCAGUAUUUAGAUAACAAGCUAGAUGUUUUGAU